GGCAGACGGGUGAGUAACGCGUGGAUGACCUGCCCUUGAGCGGGGGAUAACGUCUCGAAAGGGACGCUAAUACCGCAUGAUGUCCCGCCUUUGAAGAGGUGGAGACCAAAGCUGGGGACCGCAAGGCCUGGCACUCAAGGAGGGGUCCGCGUCCGAUUAGCUAGUUGGUGGGGUAACGGCUCACCAAGGCUCCGAUCGGUAGCCGGCCUGAGAGGGCGGACGGCCACACUGGGACUGAGACACGGCCCAGACUCCUACGGGAGGCAGCAGUGGGGAAUUGUUCGCAAUGGGCGCAAGCCUGACGACGCAACGCCGCGUGGAGGAUGAAGAUUUUCGGAUCGUAAACUCCUGUCGAAUGGGACGAAUGGCCUGGCCGUGAACAACGGCCGGGAAUGACGGUACCGUGAGAGGAAGCCCCGGCUAACUCCGUGCCAGCAGCCGCGGUAAUACGGGGGGGGCGAGCGUUGUUCGGAAUUACUGGGCGUAAAGGGCUCGUAGGCGGCCAACUAA
rnacentral:rRNA from 1 species